GAUGAACGCUGGCGGCGUGCCUCAUACAUGCAAGUCGAGCGAACAGACGAGGAGCUUGCUCCUCUGACGUUAGCGGCGGACGGGUGAGUAGCACGUGGAUAACCUACCUAUAAGACUGGGAUAACUUCGGGAAACCGGAGCUAAUACCGGAUAAUAUAUUGAACCGCAUGGUUCAAUAGUGAAAGACGGUUUUGCUGUCACUUAUAGAUGGAUCCGCGCCGCAUUAGCUAGUUGGUAAGGUAACGGCUUACCAAGGCAACGAUGCGUAGCCGACCUGAGAGGGUGAUCGGCCACACUGGAACUGAGACACGGUCCAGACUCCUACGGGAGGCAGCAGUAGGGAAUCUUCCGCAAUGGGCGAAAGCCUGACGGAGCAACGCCGCGUGAGUGAUGAAGGUCUUCGGAUCGUAAAACUCUGCUAUUAGGGAAGAACAAAUGUGUAAGUAACUAUGCACGUCUUGACGGUACCUAAUCAGAAAGCCACGGCUAACUACGUG
rnacentral:rRNA from 1 species